GACGAACGCUGGCGGCGUGCUUAACACAUGCAAGUCGAACGAAGUGGCGCACGGGUGAGUAAUAUAUAGUUAAUCUGCCCUACACAGAGGAACAACAGUUGGAAACGGCUGCUAAUACCUCAUAGUGUAGGAUGAGACUAUAUCGUAUCAGCUAGUUGGUAAGGUAAUGGCUUACCAAGGCUAUGACGCGUAACUGGUCUGAGAGGAUGAUCAGUCACAUUGGAACUGAGACACGGUCCAAACUCCUACGGGAGGCAGCAGUAAGGAAUAUUGCGCAAUGGGGGAAACCCUGACCCAGCAACGCCGCGUGAAGGAAGACGGUCUUCGGAUUGUAAACUUCUUUAGACAGGGACGCGGUACCUGUAGAAUAAGCCACGGCUAACUACGUGCCAGCAGCCGCGGUAAUUC
rnacentral:rRNA from 1 species